AUGCUUAACUGGCCAGAAACGGAAGGGAAAAAGACAGACGACUAUGACAACAUACACGGGCGGGGUACCGGCAAUAUUGGAAACUGCAUUAGCGAAGAGUACAGACGUGCUAAGGUUGCACGCGAAGGGACAGUCCUAGAGGAAGAAUUGCCGAAAACUAAGCGGAAAGGUGGUGGCAGGAGUAGAAAGGCAAGCACGUCGGCGGUUUCAUCAAACACAAAUUAUAAUAUGGACCGUGUGAUGUCAUACAUAAAACUGCUUCACGAGGAGAUGGUAAUGGAAAGGUUAAACACGGAAGGUGUGAUGUACAAACCCAAUAAGAGGGACAACGUUGACGAAUUUGAUGAUGUAGGUGAAGGACUUGGGAUGUAG
rnacentral:rRNA from 1 species